AAAGUGGAAUAAAGCCAAGGAUGACUUGCCGGUAUUAAUUUACUACAAAGCUAAGAUGAUAGAUUGCUUGGUUUUCCCGGCAAGUUAUCCUAAGGCUAUAUUCGGCUUUCU
rfam:Lupinus angustifolius cultivar Tanjil chromosome LG04, whole genome shotgun sequence.